AUUGAACGCUGGCGGCAUGCCUUACACAUGCAAGUCGAACGGCAGCACGGGAGCAAUCCUGGUGGCGAGUGGCGAACGGGUGAGUAAUACAUCGGAACGUGCCCCGUAGUGGGGGAUAGCCCGGCGAAAGCCGGAUUAAUACCGCAUUCGACCUAUGGGUGAAAGCGGGGGAUCGCAAGACCCCGCGCUAUUGGAGCGGCCGAUGUCAGAUUAGCUAGUUGGUGGGGUAAAGGCAUACCAAGGCGACGAUCUGUAGCAGGUCUGAGAGGACGACCAGCCACACUGGGACUGAGACACGGCCCAGACUCCUACGGGAGGCAGCAGUGGGGAAUUUUGGACAAUGGGCGCAAGCCUGAUCCAGCCAUGCCGCGUGCGGGAAGAAGGCCUUCGGGUUGUAAACCGCUUUUGUCAGGGAAGAAACGCUCCGAGUUAAUACCUCGGAGUAAUGACGGUACCUGAAGAAUAAGCACCGGCUAACUACGUGCCAGCAGCCGCAGUAA
rnacentral:rRNA from 1 species